rnacentral:rRNA from 1 species
AUUGAACGCUGGCGGCAGGCCUAACACAUGCAAGUCGAACGAGAGGCGGACGGGUGAGUAAUGUCUGGGAAACUGCCUGAAGGAGGGGGAUAACUACUGGAAACGGUAGCUAAUACCGCAUACCAUCAGAUGGGCCCAGAUGGGAUUAGCUUGUUGGUGGGGUAACGGCUCACCAAGGCGACGAUCCCUAGCUGGUCUGAGCGGCUGACCAGCGAAACGGGAACUGAGACACGGUCCAGACUCCUACGGUAGGCAGCAGUGGGGAAUAUUGCACAAUGGGCGCAAGCCUGAUGCAGCCAUGCCGAGUGUAUGAAGAAGGCCUUCGGGUUGUAAAGUACUUUCAGCGGGGAGGCGUUACCCGCAGAAGAAGCACCGGCUAACUCCGUGCCAGCCGCCGCGGUAAUUC